UAUUAUGCUUUUUUAUCAAUACAAACAAUGAUAAUAUUAUUGAUAAUAAACUUUUCAUUUAUCAAUAUUCAAUAUUAAAACAUUGUUUAUAAUUUGAAUUUGUAGCUGUAUGAUUUUUGCCAUUUUUGGUUUUUAAUUUUUAGUUUAAUGCACAAACGACCGUCGUGAAACUAUAUUGUUUAAUUAUUUGUAUUGUUUUUGGUGCUUAUAAUAAUUUAUACAAUAUGUCACGAGCUGUGCAUAAUGCAUUAUUAAUUGUCGAAGAUAGCGGCAAUUUGUCAGAUUUUGAAGAUGGAAUAGCAGCAUUUAAUGUGUAUGAUAGGAAAAAUAGAUCAUUUCUACCACAUAUUGAUUAUUUAAACUUGUUUGUUGAAUAUGAGUUUGUUAGAUGAUUUUAUUUACUAAAAUUCACUGGAGAUAAAGUUCUAAGCAAAAAGGUGAUUAACUAAAAAAUUCAACUAACAGGUAAGUUGACCUAUCUAUUUACUUACAUAACCAAUAAAAUAUUUUGUAACUGUGUACAUUAUAAAUGUUAGUUUACAUUUAACACUUCAGCACCUACAUGAUAUUUGUUAAUUAUUUGAAUUAAGAUAUCAGCUUACAUUUACGUUUUAGCAUUGAUUUAUAAAAUCAAUGGUUUUAGUACCUAUAUAUUCUUACACCACACAUAGACACAGUAUUCUUAUAUCAUGUAUAUUGUAUAUACUUCAUAUUACAUUAUAAUAUUAAUAUUUAUUUAUCUUUAUUUCUAAAUAUUUCCAUAUACUUUCAAGUAUUGAAUAAAAAUUGUUAGAAAUAUGUAUGUAAAGAUAAAACACCAAAACAAAAUCAAAUAUUAUGUUCUAAAAAAAAAUAUACCAAAUUAGCUUUGUACAGUUUCAAUUUGUAUUUAACAAUACAUUAACAUUAUAUGUUUUGGAAAUAAUUCCAUUUCUCCUAUCAAUGGCGUAUUUAUGUGGGAAGCCCCCACAAAAAAAAAAUAAAGACCUCAAGUUACAAGUUACAUGUCAAUAUUCUAUAAUAUAAUAAUUUGUUUACAGCACUCACACCUACAUUAUUUACAAAUAAACUGAUGCGGGAUAUAAUCAGUAGGAUUAUAAUAUGGGCAAUUACUGUAUUUGUAGAAAAUACUAUUUACUACUAAUUGUUGAACCGUUCAGCGUUUACCAUUGGAUCACUUUUAUUAAUAUUAUUAUUUAUUCUAUCGACUGUUCUUGAUUAUUCAAUUUUGUGUAUUAUGUCAUUCUUGAGUUUUGGCAAAUGCCGAUAAUAAAAUUAUUUCACUAAUAUCCCCCCCCCCAGUAAGUUUUUAAAUAUGUCACUGUCUUCUAUUACAGUGUUUCUCAACAGGUGUGUCGCGACAUAAGUCCAAACGUGUCACGGGAAGUACUAUUAUUGAAUGUAUGAACCUUGUUGACACUAUAUUUACAAAAAUUAAUAGGUAUUACCUAUUCUUAUUUUUAUUGUAUGUCAAAAGUAUGAACAUUUUUAAUAGUGUGUCGCAAUAAUACAAAGGUUGAGAAACACUGUUCUACUGCACAGUUAUUGGUCCCAUUGAGAUUUUUGCUACUGGGAAUUUUUUAAAUAAAUUACAUGACUUCAAUGGUAUUGGCAUAGCAGCUGCUGCUCAAAUGGAAAAAUGAUUCAGUUGCUUCAUUAAGUAAUAAGUAUAUCAGAUUACCUGAAACUUCUGAGAAGAAAAUGGAGCUAUAAAUAUAAUUUUAUGAUUUUAGUUUCCAAAAGCUAUAGGUGCCAUAGUUAGGUGUAUGUAUUCAGUGGCAGAGCCAAGGGGGGAUAAAGGGCUAAUAAAGUUAAUGUAAAGUUAAAAGUAUUUAGCUCCCCCCUAUAAAAAAAUCCUGGUUACACCUCUAUGUGUAUUCUUUGUUAACGGUUGUUUUAUUUACCAGUUAAUGAAUGUAGUUUGCUUAUCUAUGUUUUUGUUUUAUAUUAUUUUCAUAAUAUAUGUUCUGCUAUAAUUAAAGUGGUAUAAGUUUAUAAUUAUUAUAACUAUAAUAAAUUUAAUUUAUCAAACAUGC